ensembl:lncRNA
GAAAUUCACCAUGUGGAUUUAACAUCUCAGUAACUCAAUCAGUGCCUUUAUCAUCUUUAAUGGAAAUGUUAUUGUUGUUUUCCUGCACGGAAUAUUUCUGAUGUUGCUGGGCGCCUCGGUAACAUCACAGCAGGAGUUGGUUCUAAAUUCUAAUUCUAGACACUUAAACACAGUCGCUGCUGAACCACUUACAUUAUUGUACAUUGGUUACCGAGCUACUAAAACUGCGCCACCUAAACUGAUUUGAACUUAUUUUGUUCUCAACAGAUUAGCGAUAAGAAGAAAAUGUAUCGGUCUGGAACACGUGAAUCUUCCUUUCCAGCCUUCCAGAGUCAUCAGGGCCUGAUGACCUUUAGGGACAUUUUGGACACCAUUCUUCAUCUGAGUAAUGAGGAAUGGACGACUUUGACUGAGGACAUGACGCAUCAGUACACAAAACUGAAGUUUGCAUCUAUCUGCACCGAAAUUGUGAUGUCUGUGUCGGAGUCUGUCAUUAGGAAGAUGAUGCCGGAUCUCAUUGAACGUUUCGGGAUUAAAUCGGUUCUCCGUGCAGAAGCUAAGCUGAAGGAAAAGGAUGAAUGUGAAUCAAGGAGCCGUUCUGCAACACCGAGCUGCUCAGGUCAAAGUUUACCAGAAGACUCCUCUGAUUUGAAAUGUAACUCAGUUGAAACAGGCAUCACUAAAAUGAAAGUUGCAGUGCAAGCGUUAAAGACCGUGGCUGAUGAGUUAAAGAAAUCCCUCAAAAACAUCUCUCCUGAAUCUGAUGUUAAGCCUGAAACUGACGAUUCAGUGCAGCUCCAAAACAAGGCUACAUGGGAUGUGAAUGAUACGCUGGUGAAAAAUCUUGCACAUAUUUUAUCUCCGACAAGUUUGGACCCCAAUGUAGUGAUGUCUUCUGAGGCCAAGGAUAUUAUUGAAAUAGUGGUCAAGCUCCAAAACAAGGCUACAUGGGCUGUGAGUGAUAUGCUGGUGAAAAAUUUUUCACAUCUUUUAUAUCAGACAAGUUUGGACCCCAAUGUAGUGACGUCUUCUGAGGCCAAGGAUAUGACUGAAAUAGUAGUCAAGAUCCAAAACAAGGCUACACGGGAUGAGCGUGAUAUGCUGGUGAAAAAUAUUUCACAUCUUUUAUAUCAGACAAGUUUAGUCAGUGGUGCCGAGGAAAAAGAUGAUCAUGCAUGUCCAAGUGGUACCUUGAUCUCCUCCAAAAAGCCUUGCUCAGGUCUGCAGGAUGCAGCAACAGCAGUGCCUGAUGAUCAGGAGGAACCUUCCAAAUUGCAGGCUGAUGUUGACAGCUGCACUGAGAAGGUCAUGUGGCAGGUUGAAAAUUUAUAUUUGCAUGAGGAGAAGCUGGCCAAGUCCACCUUCUAUCAAAAGCCACGGUAUAAAGGAAAAAUGUACAUUGAUUCAAAUGCAGAAAUGGCAUCUGGGGAUAGCUUUUUCGGAAGCAGGUCAGAUGUACUCCUUGAUGAAGCCGCUGUGGCAGUUAGAAAUAUUCUAAUGGAAAAGGCAGUCCCAGAACAUGUGGAUAAACCAAUAGGCACGUUAUAUGAGUCUGGGCCUUUUAGAAGCCAAUUUGCAUUAAAACGUGCUGCUGUGGAUUCUGGCAGAUCAGUGGUUAUGAUUUUGGACCAGUUUUAUAAGUCGAUGCAAUCCAUAGCGGGAGAUGCGACAUAUAGCUCAGAUGCUCUUCUUGGCUUUGUAGGUGACGCUGUUGUUAUCGGAAAAGAAGGACCGUUGAAGAGUGCACGUACCACCUUAAAAACAGUGCGCAGUCAUCUCCUAGAAUUUCUUUCUAAAUUUAGUCCAGAAGAAAUUGACUGGGAGGAGGACGAGCAGGUUAUUGACCUGUGCACAGAAGAGGUUAUUAAUCAAGCCAUUUAUUUGUACAGGAAUGAACUGGCAGACCCGAUUUCGUUCACAGAUAUCGAUAUCCUGACAUCAGCCCCAUUUCAGACCAAGUUAUCCCAGCGUGUAAGUGAGAUCAUCUUACAGAAGCUGGAGUCCUGUCCUUCAUUGAUGCCAACAAAAGGUUUCUCAGAAGGUCAUCUCAAAGACAUCUCUUCUGAGAUUUCGAGAUCUGUUAGCAACACACUGCAGAAGUUUGCACGUGCUCAGCUAGCUUUGAGAAGGGGCUCAUCUUCCCAAACUCCACUGAGCUUCUUCUCUCCUUUGUUUCUGUUCAUUAAGGUGAAGAAUAAGCUGAAGAAAUCUUCCAGUCCUGAGAAACCAAAUUGCUCAGCAGAGUCAGAAAAAGAUGAACGUGUCGUUCCGAUUCAUAUCACAGACGAUGGCUCUGAUUUGGUACGUAACUCCUUUGAAACAGCCAUCAGUAAAAUUAAAGGUGCAAUGCAGGAGGCAAUCCGGAGGGUCGCAUCAGGGCAAAAGUCAAAGACCAUGGCUGAUGAGAUAAACAUCUUUCAUGAAUUUGAUGUUAAGCCUAAAACUGACGAUUCAGUGCAGCUCCAAAACAAGGCUACAUGGGAUGUGAGUGGUACACUGGACAAAAAUUUUUCACAUAUUUUAUCUCAGACAAGUUUGGACGCCAAUGUAGUGACGUCUUCUGAGGCCAAGGAUAUUAUUGAAAAAGUUGUCAAUGGUUUAGUCAAUGCUGCUGAGGAAAAAGAUGAUCAUGCAUGUCGAAGUGGCACCUUGAUCUCCUCCAAAAAGCCUUGCUCAGGUCUGCAGGAUCCAGCACCAGCAGUGCCUGAUGAUCAGGAGGAACCUUCCAAACUGCUAUCUGAUGUUGAUAGCUGCCCUGAGGAGGUCAUGUGGCUUGAAAAAUUAUAUUUGGAUGAGGAGCAGCAGGCCAAGUCCAGCUUCUAUCAAAAGCUACGGUAUAAAGGAAAAAAAUAUAGUGUUUCAAAUGCAGAAACGGCAUCUGAGGAUAGUACCUUUUUCACAAUCAGGUCUGACGUUUUCCUCGACGAAGCCGCUGUGACAGUUACAGACAUUCUAAUGGAAAAAGCAGUCUCAGAACAUGUGGAUAAACCAAUACGAAAUGGAGGAAAACGGAGAAAGAAUCUUUUAUAACAUGAUAGAAUUCAAAGGAAUGUUUCACACCGUAGUAGAUGAAUACAAAGUGCUAUGGCAGCCAACAGGACAAAUGGGCAUGUGCCUAAUACACGAAAAAUAUCUGUUUUACAGCCUACAGUAAUGCUGGAGGUCUUAAGGGCGGAUGGGGGAGUCAGAAUGGAACUUAUCGCCAGAGGCUGGUGUCCCAAGGGAAUCUUGAGGAUCUGGGGACCGCCAAGGGGUAUUACCCACUGCUGGCUCCAUGUUAAUUACUUAUGCUCAUUGCCCAAGGAUUCUUAAUGCUUCCAACCAGAAUUUAUGCACAGAUUAGGCCCCUUAAAUUCACAUGUUUUGUACAGGGACUAAGAAUGGUGGAAGUGUACCCUGAUUCCUAAAAUUUACAAUUGUCAAUGGCAUUUUCAAAUUCUAGCCAAAUUCGAGCUAGGCGUCCAAAUAUGGUGCAAUGAUUACCUCCCAUUCAUUCUACCUUUCCCAGCUUCUGUGGGGAUAGUAGAUAAUGAUACUUGGAACUGUAGGGCUGAGACUCCAGGAGAGGGUAUUGUAGGAGAUUUAGAUCUCAGGAUUAUGUAGCCUCAACCCUACCGUUAUUUCUUGCUUAAAUACAAGCUGAUGUAUUAUAUUGUGUGAUUAUGAUUAAACUGUGUUAUGAUUAAACUAUGUAAAGAACCUCAACCUUGACAGCCCGGGGGAAACACAACCACGUCAGGAGAAAAAAAGGGCCAAGAAAAAGAAAGGGCUCAAGCCGUUCCCCAGGUACCUAGCAACGAAGACGGACUGGAAAAUCUUCUGCUUCGGGGGUCGCUAAGAAAGCUGUUCCUGAUGUUCUGCUCCUCCAGCAAGACCUGCGAGAUUUACAACUCGAUACUCUGGAUGUGAAGAGAACUGAAAAGCUGAUAUUAAAACAUGAACGUUUAGAGAAAGAAUGUGAUAGCAUAUUAGGUGUUUUGAAUCAAAUGAGAGCUGAAGCUGAGAGAUUGAAGGAUUGUGCUAGAUACAGGAGAGCCGAAGGCAUUAGGCAACUAAAUCAGAGAUAUGGGCAAUUGUACACAGAAGAAAUAAAAAGAGCCUGCAUUAAAAAUAAUACAGAACCCAGACCAUCUACCUUUACUAAACACGUAAUGAAUUAGAAGUGGUGCCUAGAAAUAAAACUGAAACGGACCAAGUAAAAGCAUACAUCCUGUUUUCUGCAUACAGCUUCAAAGUUAGAGCUCUAUACCACAAUCUCCUGUCCAUUGUGUCUCUCUGUUAAGCCCAAAUAAGGGCAUGCAUCAUGUUUCUCUACAAGUAACUUCAAAGCCAGAACAUGUAACCCCAUUCUGUGACCUUAAAGAAGGCAUGGUGGUUUUGUGUGGUAGCCUGGACCCUAGCGCACAGGACCACACUCAAAAAAUGUAUAAAUAUCGAGGAAAGGCAAGUGUUUAGUUACCAUUUCCUCGGGUGAAGACAUACUCGUUUUCAUUUCUUCUAAAAAGAAAACCAUUUUCAGACUCUGCGUAGUCUACGGUUCUUUAUUUUCCUUUAUAUUCUGAGUUAAGAUAAUUGUAAUCGUUUUGUUCUUUAAUAAACCGAAGUCCAUACAAAGGACGAUUCGU